GGACCACCCGGGAGGGUUAAGGCCAUACGGACAGCCGGGUCCACUGCCGA
ncrna:Ruminococcus sp. JC304 Streptococcus sRNA SpF59 (ldcC RNA)